rnacentral:rRNA from 1 species
UACGGAGUUAGCCGAUCCUUAUUCUUGCCGUACAUUCAGCUAUCUACACGUAAAUAGGUUUAUUCCGACAUAAAAGCAGUUUACGACCCAUAGGGCUGUCUUCCUGCACGCGGCAUGGCUGGUUCAGAGUUGCCUCCAUUGACCAAUAUUCCUUACUGCUGCCUCCCGUAGGAGUCUGGUCCGUGUCUCAGUACCAGUGUGGGGGGUCAUCCUCUCAGAUCCCCUAGUCAUCGUCGCCUUGGUAAGCCGUUACCUUACCAACUAGCUAAUGACACGCAUGCCCAUCUUCAUCCUAUAAAUAUUUGACCAUUGGAUAAUGCUAUCCUGUGGUUUUAUGCGGUGUUAAUCCGAAUUUCUUCGGGCUAUCCCCCUGAUGAAGGUAGGUUGCAUACGCGUUACGCACCCGUACGCCACUCUCAUAGGACCGAAGUCCUAAUCCCGUUCGACUUGCAUGUAUUAGGCCUGCCGCUAGCGUUCAUCCUGAGCCAGGAUCAAAC